rnacentral:rRNA from 1 species
UACGUAGGGGGCAAGCGUUAUUCGGAAUUAUUGGGCGUAAAGGGCGCGUAGGCGGCCUGAUAAGUAGGGGGUGAAAUCCUGCGGCUUAACCGCAGGGCUGCCUUCUAAACUGUCAGGCUUGAGCACAGUAGAGGCAGGUGGAAUUCCCGGUGUAGCGGUGGAAUGCGUAGAGAUCGGGAAGAACAUCAGUGGCGAAGGCGGCCUGCUGGGCUGUUGCUGACGCUGAGGCGCGACAGCGUGGGGGAGCAAACAGG